AUACUUACCUGGCAGGGGAGAUACCAUGAUCACGAAGGUGGUUUUCCCAGGGCGAGGCUUAUCCAUUGUACUCUGGAUGUGCUGACCCCUGCGAUUUCCCCAAAUGUGGGAAACUCGACUGCAUAAUUUGUGGUAGUGGGGGACUGCGUUCGCGCUCUCAAU
rnacentral:snRNA from 1 species